GGGUUGUGAGGUUAAGCGACUAAGCGUACACGGUGGAUGCCCUGGCAGUCAGAGGCGAUGAAGGACGUGCUAAUCUGCGAAAAGCGUCGGUAAGGUGAUAUGAACCGUUAUAACCGGCGAUGUCCGAAUGGGGAAACCCAGUGCAAUUCGUUGCACUAUCGUUAACUGAAUACAUAGGUUAACGAGGCGAACCGGGGGAACUGAAACAUCUAAGUACCCCGAGGAAAAGAAAUCAACCGAGAUUCCCCCAGUAGCGGCGAGCGAACGGGGAGCAGCCCAGAGUCUGAAUCAGCUUGUGUGUUAGUGGAACGGUCUGGAAAGUCCGACGGUACAGGGUGAUAGUCCCGUACACCAAAAUGCACAGGUUGUGAACUCGAAGAGUAGGGCGGGACACGUGGUAUCCUGUCUGAAUAUGGGGGGACCAUCCUCCAAGGCUAAAUACUCCUGACUGACCGAUAGUGAACCAGUACCGUGAGGGAAAGGCGAAAAGAACCCCGGCGAGGGGAGUGAAAAAGAACCUGAAACCGUGUACGUACAAGCAGUGGGAGCACCUUCGGGUGUGACUGCGUACCUUUUGUAUAAUGGGUCAGCGACUUAUAUUCUGUAGCAAGGUUAACCGUAUAGGGGAGCCGCAGGGAAACCGAGUCUUAACUGGGCGUUAAGUUGCAGGGUAUAGACCCGAAACCCGGUGAUCUAGCCAUGGGCAGGUUGAAGGUUGGGUAACACUAACUGGAGGACCGAACCGACUAAUGUUGAAAAAUUAGCGGAUGACUUGUGGCUGGGGGUGAAAGGCCAAUCAAACCGGGAGAUAGCUGGUUCUCCCCGAAAGCUAUUUAGGUAGCGCCUCGUGAACUCAUCUUCGGGGGUAGAGCACUGUUUCGGCUAGGGGGUCAUCCCGACUUACCAACCCGAUGCAAACUACGAAUACCGAAGAAUGUUAUCACGGGAGACACACGGCGGGUGCUAACGUCCGUCGUGAAGAGGGAAACAACCCAGACCGCCAGCUAAGGUCCCAAAGUCAUGGUUAAGUGGGAAACGAUGUGGGAAGGCACAGACAGCCAGGAUGUUGGCUUAGAAGCAGCCAUCAUUUAAAGAAAGCGUAAUAGCUCACUGGUCGAGUCGGCCUGCGCGGAAGAUGUAACGGGGCUAAACCAUGCACCGAAGCUGCGGCAGCGACACGAUGUGUUGUUGGGUAGGGGAGCGUUCUGUAAGCCUGCGAAGGUGACCUGUGAGGGUUGCUGGAGGUAUCAGAAGUGCGAAUGCUGACAUAAGUAACGAUAAAGCGGGUGAAAAGCCCGCUCGCCGGAAGACCAAGGGUUCCUGUCCAACGUUAAUCGGGGCAGGGUGAGUCGACCCCUAAGGCGAGGCCGAAAGGCGUAGUCGAUGGGAAACAGGUUAAUAUUCCUGUACUUGGUGUUACUGCGAAGGGGGGACGGAGAAGGCUAUGUUAGCCGGGCGACGGUUGUCCCGGUUUAAGCAUGUAGGCUGGUUAUCCAGGCAAAUCCGGAUAAUCAAGGCUGAGGUGUGAUGACGAGGCACUACGGUGCUGAAGUAACAAAUGCCCUGCUUCCAGGAAAAGCCUCUAAGCAUCAGGUAACAUCAAAUCGUACCCCAAACCGACACAGGUGGUCAGGUAGAGAAUACCAAGGCGCUUGAGAGAACUCGGGUGAAGGAACUAGGCAAAAUGGUGCCGUAACUUCGGGAGAAGGCACGCUGGUGUGUAGGUGAAGUCCCUGCGGAUGGAGCUGAGACCAGUCGAAGAUACCAGCUGGCUGCAACUGUUUAUUAAAAACACAGCACUGUGCAAACACGAAAGUGGACGUAUACGGUGUGACGCCUGCCCGGUGCCGGAAGGUUAAUUGAUGGGGUUAUCCGUAAGGAGAAGCUCUUGAUCGAAGCCCCGGUAAACGGCGGCCGUAACUAUAACGGUCCUAAGGUAGCGAAAUUCCUUGUCGGGUAAGUUCCGACCUGCACGAAUGGCGUAAUGAUGGCCAGGCUGUCUCCACCCGAGACUCAGUGAAAUUGAACUCGCUGUGAAGAUGCAGUGUACCCGCGGCAAGACGGAAAGACCCCGUGAACCUUUACUAUAGCUUGACACUGAACAUUGAGCCUUGAUGUGUAGGAUAGGUGGGAGGCUUUGAAGCGUGGACGCCAGUCUGCGUGGAGCCAACCUUGAAAUACCACCCUUUAAUGUUUGAUGUUCUAACGUUGGCCCCUUACCGGGGUUGCGGACAGUGUCUGGUGGGUAGUUUGACUGGGGCGGUCUCCUCCCAAAGCGUAACGGAGGAGCACGAAGGUUAGCUAAUCCUGGUCGGACAUCAGGAGGUUAGUGCAAUGGCAUAAGCUAGCUUGACUGCGAGCGUGACGGCGCGAGCAGGUGCGAAAGCAGGUCAUAGUGAUCCGGUGGUUCUGAAUGGAAGGGCCAUCGCUCAACGGAUAAAAGGUACUCCGGGGAUAACAGGCUGAUACCGCCCAAGAGUUCAUAUCGACGGCGGUGUUUGGCACCUCGAUGUCGGCUCAUCACAUCCUGGGGCUGAAGUAGGUCCCAAGGGUAUGGCUGUUCGCCAUUUAAAGUGGUACGCGAGCUGGGUUUAGAACGUCGUGAGACAGUUCGGUCCCUAUCUGCCGUGGGCGCUGGAGAAUUGAGGGGGGCUGCUCCUAGUACGAGAGGACCGGAGUGGACGCAUCACUGGUGUUCGGGUUGUCAUGCCAAUGGCACUGCCCGGUAGCUAAAUGCGGAAGAGAUAAGUGCUGAAAGCAUCUAAGCACGAAACUUGCCCCGAGAUGAGUUCUCCCUGAGACUUUAAGUCUCCUGAAGGAACGUUGAAGACGACGACGUUGAUAGGCCGGGUGUGUAAGCGCAGCGAUGCGUUGAGCUAACCGGUACUAAUGAACCGUGAGGCUUAACCUUACAACGCCGAAG
rnacentral:rRNA from 2 species